UUGCCUGAUUCCAGGCUGAGGUAGUAGUUUGUACAGUUUGAGGGUCUAUGAUACCACCCGGUACA
rnacentral:miRNA from 1 species